GGUUGAGCUGCUCGCACCUUACCUUGGCGAUAUUGCCGCAGAAGGUAUCAGUAAAGUCAUUCGCGGGGGCGGUAAGCUGCUGAAAAAGGGGAUCAGCCGCAAUCAGCACUAUCUCGCUGAAGCGAUCACCGAAGAGUGGCGAAUGGCGCCUGGUCCGCUGGAAGUCGCCUGGUUUGCUGAAGAAACGGCAGCCGUUGAACGCACGGUCGACGCCAUGAGCGCGCGGCUGGAUAAGCUGGAGGGCAAAUGA
rnacentral:sRNA from 1 species